UACGAAGGGGGCUAGCGUUGUUCGGAAUCACUGGGCGUAAAGGGCGCGUAGGCGGCUUUGUAAGUCGGGGGUGAAAGCCUGUGGCUCAACCACAGAAUGGCCUCGAUACUGGGACGCUUUGAGUUCGGGAGAGGUGAGUGGAACUGCGAGUGUAGAGGUGAAAUUCGUAGAUAUUCGCAAGAACACCAGUGGCGAAGGCGGCUCACUGGCCCGAUACUGACGCUGAGGCACGAAAAGCGUGGGGGAGCAAACAGG
rnacentral:rRNA from 1 species